GUUUUUAACUGACUUGCCACGUUAAAUAAAGGAUACAAAAUAACGUGAAUGAACAACAGAGACAAAAUACAAUAUGGAAAUGACUUAAUGGGGUAUGGCCUCAUCUCCGAUGAAUGCUAAUGACAUAUGCUGAUACCCUUUUGCUGGGAAAGUUAAACGAGCAUUCAGACCAGUCUUCCAGAUUGAACUUUCGUAAACUACAUUAGAAUUCACAGAGGUUGCCUGCCCAAUACUUAACCUGCUUUCAGUCAAACCAAGCACUGGCAGACACAAGAUAACUAGCUAGAUUUAAAAAAUAAAAAAUAACUUCAUAAUAGCACUUAUUCCAUGAUCGAACGUUCUAAACACACGGUUUGGCAAUUUCCGGUCAGUCUAGUUGUUAUCGACGAUAUAACUUUACUACCACUAUGUCGCAGUUUUUUACUAGGUGUCUUCAGGACUUGCCUCAAAUUCAUAUUAAUGAUGUACAUCGAAUUGUUAAAUCAGCCUCCGAGACUCCAGCUAGCAAGAAUGAAAAGGGGUUCAAGAUGUAUAUAGGAAGCUACAUAGACAACUAUGAAGUAUCUAACAAAGAUACAUUGACAGGGGCGAUCACCGUGAGGGCUGCCUGUCACAGGUCCAUGAGGAAGAGUGAAAAGCCGCACAGCAUGAGUAGGGAAAGUCUUUCAUCAGACGUAUCUUCACAGAUGGUGUUAAAGCACUCCGUACCAGUGAUAGUGGUCCAAAGCCACUGCUCCUGUGUUGCAGGAAGUGCUCUGUGCAAUCAUCUGGUGGCCCUUCUUUACCAGACAGCACACUACUCUCAACUAAACAUUCCUGCUGCACCACCAGUUCACAGCUGCACAGACACAGAACAGCAUUGGCACAAGCCAAGAACACUUGGUGUGAAGCCAGGUCCGGUUGGUGGGAUAGAGUUCCGUAAACCUAUUAACUUGUGUGCUGAUGGAAUAAGAUGUUCUCUCUACAAAGCACUCAAUGGAUACAUGCUUGACCUGGACUCUCUCCGCGUCUCAGAAACAUAUGCCAACUUUUCUCCACUUCCUGCCCCUCUUGGGACAACAAUGGAAAUGUCAGCUGACAUGCCCCUGGUUGAGUCCUCCUUUGGGCCAGUGCAAUGCGGCAGUGUUCUGUCCUAUCAGCUUCCACAGCCAAAGACCCAUGAAAUUGUGAAGAUUGCCGAUGCCUCUUCUCCACCAAUACUUCCAUUAGAUGGCUUACAGGCUUCAGUCUUCCCAGUGUGCUUACGUCCUUAGCCAUCAGGAGCAGUUCCACCUCAAGGCAUUAGAGACAACCUACGAGAUGUCACAAAGUCGAGGUUGCUACAAGGGAGCAGAGCAGCAGCCCAGAAUUGCAUCAGCUCAGGAAAAUGAGAAUAACAUCCUCUCGUUUCCAAGAGGUUUGCCAUGUCUGGGGCGAGACCUCAGCUGACCACCUAGUGCACCCAGGUGCUCCGUGGUUAGGAUCCUCUCCAGGUGGAAUCAUAUUUGAUCCCAGUGUGAGACCACACUUUGGACUCUUAGAGGUCAAGUUAUGUUGACUGCCCUUACCUAAAGAUACAGAAUGGAGAGCUGAAGUUGAAGAGAUCUCAUGCUUACUACUGGCAGGUGAAAGGUCAAAUCCUUCUCACAGGUUGUAGCUGGUGUGACUUUGUCAUCUGUGCACAGGAGGACAUUCUAGUUGAAAGGAUAUUUAAAGAUCUACAGGUUUAAAAAGCUAUAAGAGAGAAGGUUGACCACUUAUUUUUACCACUACUUGCAGAAGUGUCUCUCGCACCUGAAUGGAUCCCCUGCAUGGGUGCCAAGUUUAGUGGUUUUAUGAAAAAUAAGUAUUGAUGUUCUUGUGAAGAAAUCUAUAGUAGAAUAGAUUUGUUUUAAAACAUGUAUUUCAGCAAAUGUUCAACAGUUCAGUUAAUCAAUUACACAUUUCUAACAUUGUAUUCAAUCUUGCAUUCUGUCUGUACUGUGUUUACUUGAUUUCUUUCCCCCACCCCUGUUACUCAUUGCCUAAUUAAAGCCAAUACAAGCUCCACACAAACUGAUAUUCACUACAACACAAAUGAUUGAUACAUGUCAUAGAUAAACAAAUUAUUAUUUUGCUGCUAGCAAAUAAACACAUGUACAUUUACACUGGCUUGGACCAUACUCUGGACCGGAUCAGAGACGGCACAGUCCAUAGGCAGCGCACCUUGUUCUUCAUCCCCCUCAGUCGGAGCAGGACGUUUCAGUCUUCUUUCCCAAACACCAGAUCUCUUUUGAAUUUGCCAGUUUCAUGCGAAGACAGUAGGAACAACACCUCUUUUUAGGUAUUGUCCCCGAACCCCCCCCACACAUUUUUCCCUCAACAAGGUCACUCUCGACGAAAUGUGUACUACACACCUUUGUGUGUUUGGUGACAGUAAAGUUGUCACGACGUACUGCCCCAACCACCUUUUUCUGAGCUCUACAUCGACUGGGAAACGAUGGAAGCUCACAAUACCAUUACAUUUGGAAGAAACUGAACACAGAGACACUGAACAAUGUUCAUUAGCACCUCCUUCGCGGGGCUGUAAUUUAAACGUAGUAAUUGCGAACUAUUUCAGCCAGAAAUGCAUCGACGACAGCUAGUAAGCUAAUGAUAAAAACAAUAGCGGAAGUCAUCAACCCGGUCUGAAGUAAAUUAGAACGUUGGAGGCGGAAUAAUGCAUUUAGCCUAUUACCAGCUACUGUAGCUGGAUGCGAGUUGACUCACUGAGUAUCGUGAAUACAGCGUUAGCGUAACUGCGUUCAAACAGGGCUGCAAUGAAAACGAAUGGGCCUACAACUAAUAUGUUAGCGUCAAACUUUGACAAGGCAAUGGACAAAUAGUAUUUGAGACAAGCUGAAAAAACAGACCUCUUCUGGCGCAAUAUUUACUUUGUUCCGUGUUACGACGUAUCGUACGUAGUUUAAUGUACAAACAACGACCUAGCUAUACGUAAUGUGUAGCCAAUUUAGAUAGCUACAGUAAUAACAGCCCGUUUGUACCACUGACGUAUAUGUUUCGAUUAGCAUUCGAACCACAUUGAUUAUGAAACAUUGAGAAUAAUGACAAAGAUGAUGGUAGCAAACGCAUGAGCAAUCAACAUUAACCCAGUUAACUAGCUAGUAUGCAGGGUCGUCACUAGUUACCACAGCCAUAAACCCUGCCAUAAAAUGGGAUUUUAAACCUAACCUUGUGCCUAACCGUAAAUUCAUUUGAAGUUUUCAUGAAUUCUUAUAGCCAAUUUUGACUGUUUGUGCCAUCUAUUCUUAUAGCCAAUUUGGACUGUUUGUGCCAUCUAGUGGAAACCAGUAUAGUAUGCAGUUGCCUGUCAGCUAGCUAACGAACCAAUAAUAUGCAGAUGGCUGACUAACAAUAAACCUGCCUCUGCUCCAUCUGUGAAUCAACCAGGGUGAACAAACAGUUUCAAGUUUUAAAGUCACGUGCACAAGUACAGUGAAAUGCAUUUCUUGCAAGUUCUAAACCCAACAAUGCAGUGGUCAAUAUCAACGUAGUACUAAAAUAACAAGUUAGAACAAAAACACGACACAUAAAUAAGAUGAACAUGAGAAAGUAAGAAGCUAUGAUACAGGGUCAGUUCCUAUACCAUAUUUACAAUGUGCAGGGAGACUGGAGUGACAGGCAGAUAUGUAUAGGGGUAAGGUGACUAGGCAUCAUGAUGUAUGAUAAAACAGUAGCAGCAGCGUAAAUGAAGAUUGUAUGUGAGUAAAGCCCCUUGAAUUGAAUUGAGUCAAUAAAAAAUGUGUGUGCAUGUUGUGUGUGUUGGAGUGUCAGUGUGAGUGUGCAUAGAAAGUGUUUUUUUAUAUAUAUUUUUUUUUAUACAAGGGUCAACUCAUGGUCUGUGUAGCCAUUUUGUUCGCUAU
ensembl:lncRNA